UCUCUCUCUCUCUCUCUCUCUCUCUCUCUCUCUCUCUCUACAUGUUUGUGUUUGAUUCCGACUAAAGAAAUUGAGUUUUUUUAUUCCCUAACCUCUAUCGUUAGAUUUCUUUUACGGAGUGUAGAAUUGAAAUUGCUUUGAGCGAUUUUGUGUGCGUGUUUUUUAUUCCAAAUAAAGACUAUGGUUUUUUUUUUUGGCUAUUUUUUAAAUGGUAGAGCAGAAUUGAUAUUGCUGUUAGCGAUUUGAAGGUACAGGGAAGUGCUAAUUUUCUGAAUCACAAUGAGUAUUUUUCUAGUGCAUUAGUAGAUGUAAUUCUUCUUUGUUUAAGUGCGGAAGAAAGUAUCAGAUCAUUGGUUUUGGAGCAUUUGUUAAAUUUAUGUUUAAUCAUAAUUCCCGGCCUUCUUGUUGCUUUGAAGGAUGUAGAUCAUCAAGAUAGUGUUUGAAUAUCAUUUGGUUUGGAUGAUACAUAAUGAUUAUGUUGGUGAAAACAAUUGUGAGAACCGGACUUAAAGGAUCAAUUUUUGUAAACUUUAUAGAUAGUAAUUUAUUAGGGUUGAUGUUCUAAUAAAUAAUUCAGCAAAAAGUCUGAUUGCGUUGAAUUUACAUGGAAAGAAAAUAAAUUAUUUGCCUAAAACUUAUUUGCACUAAAGUUGUUAAUUAAAUGUGUUUGAUUGAUUUAAUUUUCAACUUUGAAAAUAUUAUAUUUGUCCAUUUUUUAUUGAUGGGUGGACGCGAGAGAGAGAAGAGGUAUCAGAGAGAGAAAGAGAGGGAAUUAUCUGGAAAAUUAAAACAUACUCCCCCUAAAGAAAAUAUUUUACUUGUUUUCAAGGAAAAUAUAGUCAUGUGAUCAAAAGUAGGAAAAUGUUUUCCAUAAAAAAAAUAUUAACCAAACAUACGAAAGUAGAAAUUUGGGGAGGAAAAAUGACAUGUUCCAUGAAAAAUAUUGGCAAUCAAAUGCACCAUUAUAGGUUUCUAAUUAUAUAUCAGGUAAAAAAACUAAAGUAAAUGGGGCCUCAUAAUGUAUGUGAUCUCUUGGUUCACGUAUGGUCGCAUAUUUUCUUGGUAAUGGCUGUUGACAGUUUGAUCACCUUGUCAUGGUUGCUUGAUUUUUAACAAGUGUUUUGAAACCCAUUUUGGGCAUUCUUUAUUCUAUUUUUUUGGUUUCAUUGUGAAAAUAUAUUUCUGUUUACUAUUCCUUUCAAACUGUUGCAAAAUGUGAAUACCGUAUCUCCAAGUAGUUGCUCGCAGAAUAUAAUUCUAUGGUCUUCAUCUGCCUUUAAAUGAUGAACAAUGUUUAAUUAAGUGAAUCUACGAUGUCAAUAUUCUUCUAACAUAAAAGCAAUGUUCAAUGAAGUGAAAGCCUACUGUAGGUUACAUUGAUUUGUGCUAGUGCUAGUCUCUCGUUCGAGAAUUUGGAAGUCUCUUACUUGUAGGCCAUCUGUGUGGUGCCAUGGACUGGUGGUUAUUCAUUUCCUGUGCAUUUUUGGUAUUUGUUAACAAAAUUAUUCGGAGGAGAGGGAUUAAAGCAUGUGAAAAUAGAUUAUUAAACAUGUGUUUCAGACACUGGACUUGGUCAGUAUUGUAACUUAUAUUUGCUGUCUGAUCAGGG
rnacentral:lncRNA from 1 species